rnacentral:sRNA from 1 species
GGGAACAGCAUCAGUGGGCUUUUGCUUUAUCUAGGCUAGAUGAAGACCUUUGGCUGUAGAUGAGCUGUCCAUGACGUAGGUUUGUACGUCAACUCAGCCUUAUUCUGGGAAGUCAUUAAUCCUUAACUCUGAUGACUCUGCAAAAGUAGUCACUGACCCCUCAUGCAGAUGCUUGAGAGUGAUCACGUUCUUGUAGUGAUAAAAGGUUGUUUUAAAUCAUGAGCCAUUUUUCCCAUGACUCUUGUAGCCCCUUGAGCUUGAAACUUGGGCUAACACUAGCUUGCUCUUCUUACCAGCUUGAGCUCAGCUGAAUACGACUGUGAACUGAGAUCCCUGCACCAGCUUAAGUCAGCAUGUGAUGGGAGAGAAUGCUCUGGACAGGGUAUGCAUGCCAUCCUAAAAUAAAACAUAAGUCCUUGACAAUUUCCUUUGGACAGUCAAACCUUUUAAGAAACUAGGAAGAUCUUGGCUGAAUAAGAGACUAAUGGUCCUUUGUCCUGUCCCAGUCACAGCUUUUCUGUUUUCUUUGAUGCUGCACUGAAGUUUUAUUCUAUUUGUAAAAAGGCAGAGUUAUCAUCCCUUUUCCUAACUUUCUUUUUCAGUCUCUUGGCCCUCGGAUGUCAUUGAAUGUCUCACCUUGCAUCAUUAAGCAUACUUUGUAAUGUGGUCUUUUCUUCAUGCCAUACAUGUUGUAUCUUCCUAUCAUUUCUCUGAUGCUAUGAGUUGGCAAGGGGGGUUCACAAAAUAGUAUUCAGUUUGCUCCAAAAAGCACCUGGGACUCUGAGGCUGAGUCAUCAAAGCAACAUAAUCCAUAUUUUGCCUGAGAAGUGUAUUGCAAAAUCUGUUGGACAGUACAUUAUAAAGUUCCCACUUGUGGCUAAAAAUUGCUUUAAGUUGGCAAAAUUGCCAUUUCUAUACUUAAAGAUUGAAAGCAAUAUUAAAAUGAAGCCAGAACUUAUAUCAGAAGAUUCAAAUUAAGUCAUCAAAUUCGUUUGACGAGCAUCUUAUUCUGAAACUAUUUUAUACGGUGGUUCUGUUAAAAUACUUUUCUCCUCAGAAAAGAUAUCAACUCACAGAGGUAUUAGGUCUCGUGUGAUUUUUAUGCAGCCGUCCCUAACUCCCAAACCCUUGUUUUGUCACCAUCUCCCAAAUUAUGCAACUAAAAAGCAUAUUGAUAAAUUUCUUACCAGAUGGGAUUAUGCCAAUUUACACUCCCACCAGCAAUAAAGUAUAUAUUAGCUUUAGGAUUGUGAUGCCUGCUUUGGAAUUUAUUAUUACUCAGGCUACUGCAAGUAAUCUAUCCAUUUUCUUCAUCUCUCAAGGCUGGUGAAGAUUGCCUGACUCACUUUAAAUUCUGGCUCAUACACUUCUCUGCUCCCCACCCCCAGCGUGUUUUAUUCUUCCCCUCCUUAUAAGGACUCUUCUCACCUUCUCUGCAAACUCUCCCCUCACUUGGAUUUAAUGAGGUUACUUCACACUUUAGUUGGAAACACAGAAACUUCAUCUUUGCAUUACAAAGAGCCCACCUGAGCUAUCUGUUGGCUCACUCUUUGCCUCCCCUAUCAAAAUGGGGAGCAGCUCGGCAUCUUGACCAUUUCCAAAAUGAGCUUCACCUUGGCACCCUGUCACUACUGGAAGACUUGGCUCCUGCAGUCCUGACCUCGCCCUUUCUGCUACUCUCCUCCUCCCUCAUCAUGCUUCCAGUACACACACUUUCCUUCUGCUCUUCAAAAACAUCAGACAUGCCCCUGUCCUAGGGCCUUUGCACAUGCCCUUGCUGUAUAUGGCUACACUGUGUCUAGAUGGUUAUGUGUUGAGCAUCAUUAGAAGGUAAUUAGGUAACUAAGGAUUGCUCAGCUGUCACACUCACAGGGAGAGCCCUUCUCUGAUCAUUCAUUCACUUUCUAUUACAUUACCUUUCUGGGUUGUUAUCAUAGCACUUAUCCAGAGCUGACAUUAUCUUGUCAGUUUAUUGCAUUUCUUACUUAUUGACUCACUAUUCCCAUCCAUGAUGACGGGCAAGACACUAUGAGAAUAUAAACUCUUUGAGAAAAGAAUGGUUUCUGUCUUGUUCAUUAUUCCAUCCCCAAAUUCUAGAGUAGUGCUUCAUGGAAAAAAAAAGUAUGGCAUGAGAGUUAACUAUGAAUUCCAUUUAGCCUUUCCGUAGUACUUAUAUUUUCAUAUUUUCCAUUUAGGCGUUCAAUCCCUUGGAAUUUAUCUUGGUGUAGGAUGUGAUGUAGCUAUCCACAUUUUUGUUUCCUUCCUUCCUUCCUUCCUUCUUUCUUUUUCUUUCUUUCCUUCUUCCUUUCUUUUGAGAUGGAGUCUCACUCUGUUGCCCAGGCUGGAGUACAGUGGCGUGAUCUCAGCUCAUCACAACCUCCACCUCCCAGGUUCGAGUGAUUCUCCUGCCUCAGCCUCCCGAGUAGCUGGGACUACAGCUGUGCGCUACCAUGUCUGACUAAUUUUUGUAUUUUUAGUAGAGAUGGGGUUUCACUAUGUUGACCAGGCUGCUCUCGAACUCCUGACCUCGUGAUCUGCCCGCCUCGGCCUCCCAAAGUGCUGGGAUUACAGGCAUGAGCCACUGCGCCCAGCCUGUUUGUUUCUUUUGAGACAGGGUCUUGCUCUGUUGCUCAGGCUGGAGUACAGUGGCAAAAUCAUGGUUCAUUGAUACUUCCAACUCCCAGGCUCUAAUGAUCCUCCUGCCUCAGCCUCCUGAGUAGCUGUGACCGAAGGUGCAGGCCACCACAACCAGCUAUUUUUUUUUCUUUUUUUUGUAAAGAUGGGGUUUUAUUAUGUUGCCCAGACUGGUCUCAAACUUCUAGCUUCAAGCAGUCCUCCAGCCUUGGCCUCCCAAAAUGCUGGGAUUAUAGGCAUGAGCCACCAUGCCAUGUCCAAUUUUUUGUUCUUAAAUGCUUAGCUAUUUGUGCUAAUAGUUACCAGUUUAGUCUUCCACAUUAACUUUAGAAUCAUUUAUUUUAUCAAAUUCCUAAAAGUAUAGCUUGUGUUGUUUGUUGAAAUUAUGCACAUGUAGCACUACUUUGGCAAGAGCAAAAGAUAUACUAUAUUCAGUGUUUCCUGCAUGAACAUGGCAUGUCUGCAUUCUUGUCUUUGUUUAUGGCUUUUAGUAAAGUUUUCAUUUACUCCACUGACUGCUAAACUUUCCAUUUUUAACUUAACAUUUCUUGCUAAACUUACUCCACUUUUUGAAAGUGUGAUGCUCUUAGAGGUGGAAUCAUUGCUCCAUUAUUUUUCUAGCUGGCUUUCCCUGGUAUGUGGGAAGGCUCAUGGUCAAUUUGUAUAUAACUACCUUUAAGUAUGCAUCUAUCAAAAAUUAUAUCUAGUCAGUCUGAUGUUUCAUUAUUUUCAACAGUUUAGUUAAUCCUGAUUAUUUUAGUCUUACAGUCAUAUUGCUUAUAAUGAUGAUUUUUAAUCUUCAUUUUCAAUUGUUUUUAUUCUUAUUUCUGUUUUAUUGUAUUUCCACCUUCCAGAACAAUGAUAACCAGUGAUAACAGUGUUAAUAUCAGCACAUUUUUCAUUGUAAUGGGUGCUUCUUGUGGCCCACCAUGAAGGAUGAGCUGCACUUUUAGUUUAAUAUAACUAUUCCUUAUUCUUUUACUUCCAUUGUUUUUUGUUCCUGAUAUAUAAAUUAAUAUCCUUAAGUCCACCGGGACCAGUAUGCAUUUUGUGCAAUUUUAGAAAUUACUUCAGGCAUGUGACCAGUAAGCAUGUUAGUGCUAAUGCUGUCUAUGCAGAGGAGCAAGUACAGUGUGAAAUAAAGCAAUGCCAACAUUUAUGUGAAAUGGGUAUUCAUGCUAAAUCUGUCUUUAGGCUUAACUCUAUUAAAAAGGAAUUGUCAAACUGCCAA